CGAUUGUCACGAGAGCACCGCCGACAGCAGUCCUUCUCUCCGCGACCCUCACCAACACCAAGCUCUCUGGGCUAUCAGGCGGCCCGAUCCUCUUCUACAUUUUCCCCUUGCAUCUCUGCCCUAGAUGCAGCCGGCGUCAUCGCAUCAGACCACAAUACCUGCAAUUUGGGUGGCUAGCGUCGCCGCCAUCUCUUUCACCGGCUGCCACUUCUUCCUCUUCCAUCUGCCACCGUCGGAGAGCUGAGUACACAGGAGAGUAGGGUUGUUCUUCCGCGUAUCAGCAGUUGCAAGGGGUUACCACGCGUUGCCCCCUUCAAUUGUGUCGUGGCCAUCUGGUCAGCCACAAGGAGAUCCAUUGCUGCGGUGACCCCAUUUGUGCUUGGAUUUGUGCCAAUGUUGUGUAUCAGUGAAUUCUGAGGCAGUGAUGGUUGUUGGACA